rnacentral:hammerhead_ribozyme from 1 species
CUCCUGUACACGAAUGUGUAUUCGUGCUGAUGAGUCUAAAAAGAUGAAACAGGAA